rnacentral:rRNA from 1 species
GACGAACGCUGGCGGCGUGCUUAACACAUGCAAGUCGAACGGAAAGGCCCUGCUUGCAGGGUACUCGAGUGGCGAACGGGUGAGUAACACGUGGGUGAUCUGCCCUGCACUUCGGGAUAAGCCUGGGAAACUGGGUCUAAUACCGGAUAGGAGCCAUUUUUAGUGUGAUGGUUGGAAAGUUUUUUCGGUGUAGGAUGAGCUCGCGGCCUAUCAGCUUGUUGGUGGGGUAAUGGCCUACCAAGGCGGCGACGGGUAGCCGGCCUGAGAGGGUGGACGGCCACAUUGGGACUGAGAGACGGCCCAGACUCCGACGGGAGGCAGCAGGGGGGAAUAUUGCACAAUGGGCGCAAGCCUGAUGCAGCGACGCCGCGUGGGGGAUGACGGCCUUCGGGUUGGAAACUCCUUUCGCUAGGGACGAAGCUUUUUGUGACGGUACCUAGAUAAGAAGCACCGGCUAACUACGUG